GUCAGGAUCUUUUUAGAAACGUUUGAUGUUUGGUAAAAAAACAUAUUCGAGUAUAUUUUGGCAGAUUUUCUACUGGAAACACAACCAAUUCUAUGGUGCUUUAUAAUUGUCUCCCUUCAUCUCUAUUUUUCUCAGUUGACAUGUAUCCUCCCCUUUUCUUAACUUGUCUUUCUUCACCCCUCCUACUCCUAUGACCGCUUGAUCCUUAAUUGAAGUUCCAACUUAUAAGUAAGGUAAGUGCUGCAACAGAUAAACUCUACAAUACACCACCUGUUGCUUAAUUACAUGAAUCACUUUCAAAAAUUAGUAAAUUUAUUUAUUUCUAUUAGCAAUUAUUUUCUUUCUUUAAUCAGCCUUUUAUUAUUAUUAUUAUUAUCAUUAUUAUUAUAAAUCACACAUGAAAUGUUCUUUUCCUUCCGUCCCCAUUUAAUACUAGUUCCUAGUUUUACUUUGGCAACGAUUACUGGUAAUUAUGUCAUCGUCGAAAAUGUGUCAGGCUGAUCCGAUCUGUGAUGGCCUGUGACAUGAAUGCUUCCAUCUCGCUCGCACCAAUUCCAGACUCACUCUUACCACUUUGAGUAAGAACUAUCAAAUUCGCUGUCAAACAGGCAAAUUGUGAUUAAGUCGACCGAAAUAUAAAUAGUAUUCAUUUUUAAAAAUUUAAUCUAAGAAAAUCUAUUUGCUUUAAAUAUUUUUCUUUUUUUUAUAUAUUUUUAGAGAAAGAAAAUAUUUCCCCAGAAAAAAUGUUAAAAUUGUUUAAAUUUAAAGUGAAAAAUUAAUAUUUAAAAAGUUUCUCUUUACAAUCACAAAAAUGUGCUGGAAUUAAAUUGAAAAUUUUAAAAAAUAUUUAGCUUGGCAUCUUUUGAUCUUUGAUGCUUACUUUCCUUUUGCACAAAAGUAAUACCUGUCUUGUAUUAAAAGUUUUCUUUCUAAACCGGGAAAUAAGAAAUCAGCGAUUGUCAUGGUUAUGAAAAAAAAUGAAAUAAAAAGUUUAAAAUUUCUUUAUUUUGUUUUUAAUUUGCUUUCUGGUUAUCCUUGAUUACAACUCUAACGAAGUAAACUUACUAACUACUUAGAUAUCAAAAUUUAUUUGUAAAUAUUGUGACAUUCGGAUUUUACCUAUUUCUUUCAUAACAUCCUUCUUUUAAAUUAAUUAAAAUAAUAAGCUGCACACACCUUCUAUUUAUCUGUAUUCGUUAAUUUGAUUUUUUUCUAAAUCACUUUUCAUUAUUUUGCUUAUAGAUUAUAUUAACAAAUCCAAUAUGCCUCUACGGGCCAUAUUCAAAAGCUGUCGUAUUUUUGUGAGAAACCUGUGUAAGGUUUAAUAAUUUUAUACUUCUCGAUAAAAUCUAGUUUAAAACUGUUGCGUAUUAUAACAUGUUUUGGUUUACUGUCAUAUUACAUAAUAAUAUCAGUGUGGGAUCCAAACCUUAUUUGUCACAUUACCUUCCACUGGUUGUUACAUCAAAGCAGUACCUUGGUAGAUAUUUUGCGAAGUGACCAUACACUUCUCUUCAAUUACCCUCAGAAGUUAAAGAUUCUUUACUAGUAAUAACUAUUAUCAUUUUUUGUGUAAUACUACUUUUCAUUAGGUAUAUCUAUAUUAGUCACCAACCACUUACGAUCGGUUUAAAAUGAUGCAGUGUUCAAUUAACACCAAAUAUUAGUGCAACAACUUUCUCUACAAGUGAUUAAAACCUGAAACGAAAACGUGAAGCAAGGCAGAUAAUUCCAAUAUCAGCCAAGCGGAAUGUUUUAGUAGUUAAAGAUGAUGAUAUCAGAGUGGAUCUUGUCUUUAAAGGUUAUUAAUCUCAUUGUGAGAUCGUACCGUAUGUGUAUAUAUAUUUUUUAACGUAGAGCGCUCCACGGAUAUUUCCCUUCGGCCAUAUUGUAGAGGUUCUUAACCAGUAUCGUUGUAUGGGAGGUCACAGCUUCGGAACUACGGGCAGGUGAUUAGAAUGUCGCAGGAAACAGUCGCAAUCGGGAUUCUUCAAACCGAGCCAGCCGGCUGGAGAGACCUACUGGUAGACCAAGAAUGAGAUGGUUGGAUGGUAUCCAAAGCUUCAGUUGGUCGCGCUUGGAACUCCGGACGGAAAGAGGAAUGACGGUUGCUUCUGAUUAAGACCGUAUGGAGGAGGUGAUUGGAGUUCUCUAUUCCACAAGCCUCCCAAGGAUAUCGGGCGUUGAAGAUGUGUGUGUGUGUGUGUGUGUGUGCGUGCACUAAUCAUUUGUGCCUUUGUGUGUGUGUGCACUAAUCAUUUGUGCCAACUGAGCACAAGAUAUUUCGCUGAGGUCUAAUAAGAUCGAAACAUAUCCGUUACUUUUUACCAUUCAGCUUUAAAGACAAGAUCCAUUCUCAUCUAAUUUGUCAUUGUUUUGGUUGAUAUUAUUAAAGUUAUCUCCCUUAUAUAUAUGUGUGUGUGUGUGUGUGUGUGUAAUAUUUUAAACACUCUUAAGGUCAGUUUUUCCCUACCAAUUUCAGGGAUAGUUUCAGUUCACCGGAAUUUUCCAGUUCACUGUUACAUAAGUGGGACCCUACCGUAUCUCUAAAGUUACAUUGCCCAUAGAGCCGGGUUAAAGUCAGCUGGUACACUAAGCAAAGCACAGCUCGACAAGGUGCUCCUUCGACCCUUCCUUUGACAAGACAGUGACAUAGGAGCUGAAUAUGUAACUCACUUUUCUUUCAGACCAAAUCCUACAAUUAUAUUACAAUUAACCUGUUUUAUUAUUUAUUUCUAAAAUUUUAUUUAUAAUUUGCAAAAAUAUAUAAAUAAAAGUAUGGAAGCACUCCGUCGGUUACGACGACGAGGGUUCCGGUUGAUCCGAAUCAACGGAACAGCCUGCUCGUGAAAUUAACGUGUAAGUGGCUGAGCACUCCACAGACAUGUGUACCCUUAAUGUAGUUCUCGGGGAUAUUCAGAGCGUGACACAGAGAGUGACAAGGCCGGACCUUUGAAAUGCAGGUACAACAGAAACAGGAAGAAAGAGUGAGAGAAAGUUGUGGUGAAAGAGUACAGCAGGGAUCACCCCCCACCCUGCCGGAGCUUCGUGGAGCUUUAGGUGUUUUCGCUCAAUAAACACUCACAACGCCCGGUCUGGAAAUCGAAACCGCGAUCCUAUGACCGCGAGUCCGCUGCCCUAACCACUUGGCCAUUGCGCCUUCAAAUAAAAGUAUAUGCAUGUAGUGAACGUAGGUGGCUUACUUAGUCGGAAUAAGCUCCGUAUCUUCAUCGUUCUAAGGCGGAGGUGAUGUCUGUGGGAGAAUGCGAUGUCGAUUUGGCAAGCACCCCGAUUCUGGUGGCCCUAAUGGAAUAGAUCUAAUUACAAAACGUGCAUUAGCCAAAGUAAAGCUCCUCUCAAUUUUCGAACCAAUGAAUAGGUGCCUCAUAUGGGACCCCACUGUUACAUAUUCUUUCGCUCCAUCAUGCACCUUAAAUGCUGCGUUGGAGCUGAGAUUGAACGGAACAAGACCCCGAAAUACUGUAAUUUGUAGGUGAAUUUUAUUUCUCGACCUUUGGCGUUCGAAAUUUUGUCUUUGUUAACAUCUCAGCUUACCAAACAACCGUGUGAUCCUCGUAGGGGCGCAUAGCUGUUUCAACACCCUGUGGUGGAUCGUGGAGAUAUCCUGAAGUUUAAGGGUUGCCUUAUAAUUUUUUUCAAGAGAAAUACUAGUAUAUCUAUCCUCGUUUAUCACGAGAAAAGGAUUGGUUCUGAAAACACAGUAAGUUAAUCACCCUCACGUAUUUUGUUAACGGAACGAAUAGUAGAUUUGUUAACACCAAAUCGCGGCCCACGGCAGCAAAGCUUCCACCGUCACAGAUUUUCUUGGUCACCUCUACAUUUUCCUGUAGAGAAUACACUCGCCUGCAUUGUUUGUUAGCAUCAGGCACCUUCGUAUUCAUUCUGUUCACCGAUCCUAUGUUGAUGGGUACGAGUAUAUAAAUCUGUAUUUAAAAAAUGACUUCACAGCACAGUCGUGUAAACACAAAGGAUAAUCAGUGCAUUUUAGUUAGCUGAGCAUUGUGAGCGGUCGCUUGGGCGCCGUUUUGCGGUAUAAGCGGAAAAUUCGUUUGAUCGCCGACCUGUGUUAUCAUUAUCAAUGUGUGACAAGCGUAACAUGGUUCUCAAUUGAGCGUAUAAUGAAACUUAAUGCAUUCCCUAUUUUAGUGUGUCAAUAAGAAAAUGUGUUUGCAUUUGACACAUGCUUAUUGUUAUUUAUUUAACACCAAAUAGCAGUAAGCGGUUUAAGCAAAUUAUUUAUAACUAAGACGACAAAAAGCAAUUCAAACUUUCAACAUUUUUUUUUCAUUCGGAAUUUUUUAAUCACGCUAAAAUCUAAUUUGCACCAUGAUAAAUCUGGCACUGGAAAAAAAUGUGGUAGAUGUGUUGCUUCCCAACCACAUGGUUCCGGGUUCAGUCCCACUGCGAGGCAUCUUGGGCAAGUGUCUUCUGCUAUAACCCCGGGCCAACCAAAGCCUUGUGAGUGGAUUUGGUAGGCGGAAACUGAAAGAAGCUUGUCGUGUGUGUGUGUUUGUAUUUGUCCCUUCUCCGAUCAUCGCUUGACAAUGGGUGUUGAUUUGUUUACGUCCCAGUUACUUAGCAGUUCGGCAAAAGAGAAACCGACAAUAAGUACCAGGAUUUUUUUUUAAAGGAGUACUGGUGUCGAUUCGUUCAACUAAAACCCUUCAAAGCGAUCGCAGCGUGUGUCUGAUUACUGAAACAAGUAAACGGUAAAAGAUACCCGCCCUCUUUUUGUUGGUGUCUUAAGCACUUGCUGCUGUUAAAUGGUUCAUCUGGCUCUGAUUACCGAAAUCAAAAGUUUCCAACUAGAGUUGGAAAAAUGUCAGACUGUAUCAGAAAAAGAUUAAAAAGAAAAUAGCAAGCAUAGGAGAGAGUGAGAAAAUGCACCCAGGGUAUAGUAGAGUUUGUUUUGAGACUAAUAUAUUCUCUGUUGAACCAAAGUAAGAAUAUCUUACUUCUUGUACUAGCGGUGGUAGUCAUCGCUUGACAAUGGGUGUUGAUUUGUUUACGUCCCAGUUACUUAGCAGUUCGGCAAAAGAGAAACCGACAAGCGUACAAAAGACGGCCAGAAGAAACGCUACAAGGACUCCCUGAAAACGAACCUCAAAAAGUGUGACAUUGACUUCACUAACUGGGAGGAAACGGCAAAAAACAGACCACUCUGGAAAACCACCAUCCAUGAGGGAACGGCGACUUUCGAGUCGAAAAGGUCUGCAGAGCUGGAUGAGAAAAGACGACGACGGAAGGAGCGCCAACAACAACCACGUGCGACUCUCCCUUCCGGCACUAGAUGUCUGCACUGCGACCGAUCUUUUCAAGCAAGAAUUGGUCUUAUCGGUCACCUACGGACUCACCAGUAAAUUUGCGCGAAGACCAUCAUCCUCGACCUUGAGGGAUUGCCAUAAAAAAGUCAUCCGGGGUGAGUUGAUCCGGCUCCUACCGACGUGUUUACCCCGUUCCUCACGAAUGCUGAUCACAUCCGACAGACAAAUGCUUCACUGGGAGAGCAAGCGCGUCGGAGAGCGCGAACGUCGUGGCCGUAUUUGUCAUUCGGUGUUGAGGUGUAGAGUUCAUGUUCGGAAUUUCAGUGGGAAUACACGUUCACAUGUUGUCCCUGGUCACAUGCAUGCACACUUUGAGAUUUUGUGAUCCGUAGCAGCUCAUCAUGCUGUUGAUUUUUGACCGUCGCAGAGGAUUCGCUGACCAAGUCACGGCCAGUUAUCGGAGCAGAUCUAGCCUGGAUUUGCAGCGAGUUCUAGAGACAUGCUUUAACAAAAGCUAAGGAGUGUCUCACUCCCGGUGGUCUCCCAACCCGCCUGACCCCAACCCGGAAUUUCUGAGGGCCUGUGAUAUUGCUAGAUAGUCGUAGAACCUACAUUAGGCUCAUCCGUCCAAGAAUAUCGGGUAACUUGAGCAUUGAGCAUUAAGGGUGAAGGGGUCACAAAAGCACGUUUUCAAAUCAGUGAACGUUGGAAUCUUAGUAAUUAACCUUUCGAUAAUUAUGUAUAUUUUCCAAUUUGAUCGGCUUUCCCUCGAAAGGAGCUUUUACGUGGCCGCUUGACCUGCUAGAAACAGCAGCCAAGCAUCCCUCUGAUUGUAUAUUACUGUCUUAACUAGUCGAUCUUGUAGUCCUAGAAAGACAGUGGUCUACGGCUGGAUUAGCUCUUGGUCGUAGGUGUCCGCUCAAUCAGAGAUGACUACUCCUGCACCAUCAAAUGGGGUGGCCACUACACCAAACAUAGGCAGCCCGUCUUUUGUUUUUGUUUUUGUUUUUUUUGUGUAGCGGGCCGCAUGAGAUAUGGUUCAUCACCAGGAGGGCCGCACUGCUAACAAAUUUUAUGGAAACUUUACGUUUACGUGUUCCAUUCGGAGAUUCUCGCAGUUUGUCCACGGCUGCUCUGCACAAUCACUCGAUUACUAGAAAUAGCAUCCAAAUUUCGCUCAAACGAUAUUGUACCGCUUUGGAAAAUUACACUGACGAAAAAAAAAUCGACGGGAUGGUCAUAGCCUGGACAACUUUUGAUGAAGGGUUACUGAUUCAGAGUUGACCUGGGAAUAAACAACAAUUUUAUUGUGUCACUGAAGGAAAAUAACCCCAAGGUAAUAUUCUGCAUGCUGAUUACAAAUGUAGCAGGGUCUCACAAACCUCGAUUAGUUGAGAUUAUCCGAUGAAAUUUAAUAGAUAAAAUUUGUCUAAAAAUGUUUAAAAUUUUAAAACAAUAAUCAGGGGAGAUAACUCCCAAUAUUAUCAGUUGGUAAAAAUUUUGCAUAAUAUAGUCGACCAGUGCGCUAUGGAUUUUUUUUCUUUUUUUUUUGUUUUUGUUUUUAAUAUAUAAUUGAAUGCUAUACCGAUGUUUGAAGGUGUUGAAAAAUGUUUUAUACUUAAUUUUGUGAUACGAAAAAUAUUUAAUUUUUCUAAAUGUUUAACUUCAAAACAUUUUCAAACUUCCAACGGAAACUACAGCAAUAUAUAUAUAUAUAUAUAUAUAUAUAUAUAUAUAUAUAUAUAUAUAUACAUAUAUAUAUAUAUACAUAUAUAUAUACUAGCAGUAUCGCCCGGCGUUGCUCGGGUUUGUAAGGGAAAUAACUAUAUAAGCAUUUUUAGAGAGUUAUAGCCAAAAAAUGCAUUAAAAAUGGGAAAAAAAUUAUGGUAAAUUUUUUUUAAAUCUUUGACUCAUCGUAGACGCGCGCUAAUACCCAGAAGGGCUCGAUAUGAAUCACGACUAUAAGAUACCCGGUUUUGGUUAAACUGCACCGCAAAAUGUGGGAGUAGUUAGGAAUCUAAAUCGUAGGAGACAGACACACAACUUCUCUUUUAUAUAUAAAGAUAUGUAUAAAUAUAUAUACACUCAAAUAGACGACACAAAAAACGGACGGGUCAUUCGAAGCCUCUAAUCUUCAGUCAAGGACCGGAUCAUCCUCGCAAUUUCGGCUGAUUAAUCUUGAGAUCGCUCCGAUCCGGCCAGCCCCAAGGAAAAACUAAGCUACGAGCAUUAGAUUUCUCGGAAAAAGGAUCGAAUGUAUACGAAACAAGGACAGAAAAACGGGCGUAGAGGCUUCGAAUGACCCGUCCGUUUUUUGUGUCGUCUAUUUGAGUGUUUUGCGUUCUUGUCCCAUUUUGUAUUUUUAUAUAUUUUUUAUUCAUAUUAUUGCGGUGUAACGUACAUCUUGUUCUCUUUAUAUAUAUAUAUAUAUAUAUAUAUAUAUAUAUAUAUAUAUAUAUAUAUAUAUAUAUAAUUGUUAAAUUAGCGUACCACGGGAAACAGAAAAGAAAAAUGUUUAAGAACCACUGAUAUAAAAUGGGGAUUGGAAUGAAUGUGAGUCAGCUAGUGGAAGUGAUGGACAUGUUUCAAUCGUGUUAGACCUCGUCAGCGAAGUACGUUUUAUUCAGUCGGUAAUACUUAGAGUGGUCUAUAUUAUAUUUGUGUGUGUGUAAAUGUGACUAAAUAUGACUAGGAUGUUAGAACACUCACAUUGCUAGAAAUAAGAGCUAAAAAGCUCUAAUGCACAUAAUUGUACACAGUCCCUGUCAGCACACACGUAUACAGUUAUGUGCUUUAACUACAGCAUCAGAGCAUUUUAGCUCUUAUUUCUAGCAUUGUAGGUGUCCUAACACCCUGGUCUUAUUUAGUGACAAACAAUUAUAGUUUUCCAUUUUGGGGAUCUUUUCGGUUUGAACGGCAGUUUUUCUAGCGUUGUCAUAUGAAAUUGUCACCCAUAAUUAUGACCCUAGUAUCGAUCUAUUGCAUUUCAAUCUGUUUUAGGGUUAGGGUUAGGGGUGGGGAAAGAGUAUCUUCUUUUCUUCACAAAUGUAAAUAAACCCAAUCUGUUUCUUAAACAAGGGACAUAUUCAUACGAUACAGAAUGUUUUUUACCUCAAUAGACGUCAGUGAUUGGUUGAAAUUGCAGAAAUUGAAGAAAAAAAAACAACAAAUAUCUUACAAACUAUAGAAUUUUCUCAAUAAAGCCAAGAGAAAAAGAUGUUUUAUAAACAUAUUCCACCAGUAUACGAAGUUUAAUUUUUUUUAGUUACCUAGAAAUUAUGUUAAAAACUGCCGUUCAAACCGAAAAGAUCCCAUUUUGGUAACACAUUGCAUACGGCUGUCUGUAUUAAUAUAUAUAUAUAUAGUAGAGUCAAGGUUGAGCAUUCCUUUUCACAGGUAUGUGCAGGUUUUAUCGUUUAUCUUUUACUUGUUCCAGUCAUUGGACUGCGGCCAUGCUUGGGCACCACCUUGAAGGGUUUUAGUCGAACAAAUUAACACCAGUACUUACGAGUUUUUGGGGGGUUUUUUUCGUUUGCUUGUUUUGUUGCUUUCUUUUUAAUGCUGGUACUUAUUCUAUCGCUCUCUCUCUCUUGCCGACCUGCUACCUUACGAGAACGUAAACAAACCAACGCCAGUUAUCAAGUGAUAAUAGGAGGGGGUCUUACAUACGCACACACACGCGUCGGGUUUCCACGCAGUUUCCGUCUACCAAAUCCACUCACAAGGCAUUGAUCGACCAGGGCUACAAUAGACGACACUUGCCCAAGGUGCCGCACAAUAGGACUGAACCCAAAACCAUGUGGUUGUAAAGUACACUUCUUAAACAUACGGAUCUUUUCCUUUUGAACGGCAGACAAUUUCUAGUUAACUAAAAACUUUAAAACUUCGUAUACUGGUAGAAUAUGUCAAAAUAAAACAUUUUUUCUCUUGGCUUUCUUCAGAAAAUUGUAAUUUGUUUGUUUAACGUAGUUUAAUUUUUCGAAUUUUAACCAAUCCUAUGCUCUCUUUUGAGCUAAAAUCAUUUGCUGCGUCUAAAACUGAGACAACAUCCUGUAACUAACCCUAAACCUCCCCCCUAACCCUAACCCUAAAUUUUUUUUUCUUAAUUGUUAAAUUAAUUUAAUUGUUACGCGUGUAAAAGAAACUAAAGCAAUGGAAUUAAAUUAAUUUAACAAUUAAGAAAAAAUGAGGGUUAGGGUUAGGGGGGAGGUUUAGGGUUAGUUACAGGAUGUUGUCUCAGUUUUAGACGCAGCAAAUGAUUUCAGUUGAAUGGAGGUAAUCGAUUGGUUAAAAUUGCCGAAAUGCUCGGAUUUUCAGAUGAAGUAUCUUACAAACUAUAGAAUUUUCUCAAUAAAACCAAGAGAAAAUGGUGUUUUAUAAACACAUUCUACCAGUAUACGAAGUUUAAAAGUGCUUAGUUAACUAGAAAUUGUGUUGACAUCCGCCGUUCAAAAGGAAAAGAUCCAGAAAUACUUCUUAACCAUAUCAAUGUUACAUGUGAGUCACUAAUGUAAGUUGGAAAGAAUGUCUCCUGUAUGUAACAUAUUCAAGUUGUAACAUAAUGUGUGUAGUUAGCAUUUUUUAAAGACAGUUCAUUGAAAGAAUCCAUUUUCGGCAGUUUCUUAAAGAGGCGUUAAAGAAUAUUCAGAAGGCAAGUUUAUAAAACAAAAACAUUGAAAUUUAUUCAGUAGUGUAAUGAGUGUUAGCAUGUGGCAACAAGGAUUAAUUUGGGAACCAAAUAUAUGUGUACGCAAGACAGGAAAAAUCGCAUGAUUAACUAUAUACACUGUGGUUUAUAUUAAGCAGAGUGAAGGCGGCGAGCUGGCAGACACGUUAGCACGCUGGGUGAAAUGCGUAGCCGUAUUUCGUCUGCCGCUACGUUCUGAGUUCAAAUUCCGGCGAGGUCGACUUUGCCUUUCAUCCUUUCGGGGUCGAUAAAUUAAGUACCAGUUACGCACUGGGGUCGAUGUAAUCGACUUAAUACCUAUGUCUGUCCUUGUUUGUCCCCUCUGUGUUUAGCCCCUUGUGGGUAAUAAAGAAAUAGGUAUUUCGUCUGCCGCUACGUUCUGAGUUCAAAUUCCGCCGAGGUCGACUUUGCCUUUCAUCCUUUCGGCGUCGAUAAAUUAAGUACCAGUUACGCACUGGGGUCGAUGUAAUCGACUUAAUUCGUUUGUCUGUCCUUGUUUGUCCCCUCUGUGUGUAGCCCCUUGUGGGUAAUAAAGAAACAUAUAUUAAGCAGAGUGAAAGCUGAUAUUAAUCAAAUGAGUUGCGUAUAGUUGAUGGUGGACACAGAAAAUGUGACAUGUCGAAGAAAGCGAUGUUGCCUCUAUGUCGUCAAAUCCGUAACUGGUUUGAAACUGCCGCUUCUCUGCUGUAGUGAGUUUCUUCCAUCUAGGGCAGAUCACUGCCGUUUUAUUCAUACACCUCCAGAUCUACCGUUUGGAAUCUUCCACAGCACUACUGAACUAUAUAACAAAAUAGAUUUGUCCUGUCUCGCUACACUACCCCACUGCAGACUUUAAGUCGAUACAAACAAGAAAAAGGAAGGAUAAAAAAAAUGUAAAGCAAAGGAAGUAAAAAUAACAAUACAAAAUAUUCCGGAUCUUUUCGGUUUGAACGGCAGUUUUUUCUAGCGGUGUCAUAUGAAAUUGUCACCCAUAAUUAUGACCCUAGUAUCGAUCUAUUGCAUUUCAAUCUCUUUUAGGGUUAGGGUUAGGGGUGGGGAAAGAGUAUCUUCUUUUCUUCACAAAUGUAAAUAAACCCAAUCUGUUUCUUAAACGAGGGACGUAUUCAUAUGGCACAGAAUGCUUUUUACCUCAAUGGACGUCACUGAUUGGUUGAAAUUGCAGAAAUUGAAGAAAAAAAGCAACAAAUAUCUUACAAACUAUAGAAUAUUCUCAAUAAAGCCAAGAGAAAAAGAUGUUUUAUAAACAUAUUCCACCAGUAUACGAAGUUUAAUUUUUUUUAGUUACCUAGAAAUUAUGUUAAAAACUGCCGGUCAAACCGAAAAGAUCCAAUAUUCCAAACAAUGGCAAAAGAAAAAUACAUUGCAUACGUUAGAAGUCAACAAAUGUUCAGACACUGGGAAAAGAAAACAAUAUGAAUGCAUUAAGAAGAAAAAAAGACAAGCAUGCAAUUAGACAGUUAAAGACACUCAACGCCAGUUCAUUUACAAAUAGUUUCACAGAGCCUCUCAGGCCAAUGGAUAUACAACGGCCGCUGAGAGUUGUCGUAAGGUAUCUUGGUGAAGAUGGGGGGAGAUGUUUGUAUCGACUUAUCGUCUGAAAAGGGGGGAUGUGGGAAGCACUCCGUCGGUUACGACGACGAGGGUUCCGGUUGAUCCGAAUCAACGGAACAGCCUGCUCGUGAAAUUAACGUGUAAGUGGCUGAGCACUCCACAGACCACGUGCACCCUUAACGUAGUUCUCGGGGAUAUUCAGAGCGUGACACAGAGAGUGACAAGGCCGGCCCUUUGAAAUACAGGUACAACAGAAACAGGAAGUAAGAGUGAGAGAAAGUUGUGGUGAAAGAGUACAGCAGGGAUCACCACCAUCCCCUGCCGGAGCUUCGUGGAGCUUUUAGGUGUUUUCGCUCAAUAAACACUCACAACGCCCGGUCUGGGAAUCGAAACCGCGAGUCCGCUGCCCUAACCACUGGGCCAUUGCGCCUCUACAGGGGGGAGAGUGUAACGAGUCAGGAAAGACCUAUUACGUCGCCGUAGUAUAAUAGUUUGGUUGUGCUGUGGAAGAUUCCGGCCAAUCAGAGCUGGAGGCGUAUGAAUAAAACGGCAGUGAUCUACUUUAGCAGCUGAACUCACUACAGCAGAGAAGCGGCAGAUUCAAACCAUUUACGGAUUUGACGGCAUAGUAGCAACAUCGCUUUCUUCGACAUGUCACAUUUUCUGUGUCCGCCAUCAACUACACGCAACUCAGUUGGUUAAUAUCAGCUUCCACUCUGCUUAAUAUAAACCUACGCCAUAUGCCCGCGGGCAUAUGGUGUAGUGGUUAAGAGCGCGGGCUACUAACCCCAAGAUUCCGAGUUCUAUUCCUGGCAGUGACCUUAAUAAUAAUAAUAAUAACAACAACAUCAAAAAAUACCUUAGGAAUGAGAACCCAGGUUCAAAAUUUCCCCCAAGACACCUGAUGAAGGCUGGAGGGUAUAUCAACCGACAGAAGCCGUAUUAAUGCUAAGCAGUAAUAUUCAUCCCCACUUAAAAGUGGAUGAUCUGUUAAAAUACUGCGGUUGUUACCAUGAGAGAAACUCUCGUCGGUGCGUAAGUGCACUCUAGUUUAUAUCGCUAGCCGUGGGAGGAAUAAAUCAUCUGCCAUCGCCGAGACCACGAGAUCACGUGGUUUGGGCCUCCCAGUAUUUGCUCGACAAAAGGCGGUGCUCCAGCAUGGCCACAGUCAAAUGACUAAAACAAGUAAAAGAAUAAAAAGUGAAAAACUUUGUAGUCGAAAACUCUGGUUUUACUCUGGGCUACAAUAGACGACACUUGCCCAAGGUGCCGCACAAUAGGACUGAACCCAAAACCAUGUGGUUGUAAAGUUCACUUCUUAAACAUACGGAUCUUUUCCUUUUGAACGGCAGACAAUUUCUAGUUAACUAAACACUUUAAAACUUCGUAUACUGGUAGAAUGUGUCAAAAUAAAACACUUUUUUCUCUUGGCUUUCUGGAAGAAGGGACUACACUAAUUUUUUUUUUUUCGUGUCAUCAGAAAGCUAUGUGAUCAAUGUGACUUAUAUUGGUCUUCAGUAACUUUGUUCAUUACUACAGGAAAAAAUAAAGGUAGACAGGGAUGAAAAUUUCCAGGGUGGUGAGUGGAAUUUACGUUCUGGUGAGACGGAUUGGGUAUGGUGUUAAGUGCGAGGCUUGAGUGGGUAGGAUCACAGUAAAACGCUAGCAAGAUUGGAAUAAGGUCUUACAUAAAUAAGCUGUGUGUGUCUGUAAAAUCUUGGAUCUCCGUCGGUUUCGAUAAUGAGUAUUCAGUUGCACAAAGAACUGAAUUUCCUACUCAUUGAAUUAACGAAUAUUCCACAAACUACGUAGUUUCAAGUUCAGUCCCUCUGCGCGGCACUUUGGGCAAGUGUCUUCUAUUAUAGCCCCGGGCUGACCAUUGUCUUGUGAGUGAAUUUGGUGGGUGGAAGCCCGUCGUAUAUAUUUAUGUUUGUGUUUGUAUCUCCACCACACAGCCUGACGACCCUUUUUUUUUGUGGGGUUUUUUGCACUUUGACGUCCCCGAAAUUUUAUCGAUUUGGCAAAAGAGAGACCGAUAGAAUAAGCGAUAGACUUUAAAAAGUUAGUAUCGGGUCGAUUUGUUCGUCUUAACCAUUCGAGGUGGUGGCUCUGCAUGGCCGCAAUCCAAUGACUGAAUCGGGUGGUUGAAUUUUCCACAAACAUGGAAUAACACAAUCUUCUGGAAGAACUGGUUGUGGCAAGGUUUUCCCUUUGAAUUGCAGGUAUAAUCCAUCCGACGGACUUGAUCCUAGUUUCCGUCCACCAAAGCCUCUUUCACAAGGUUUGGGUCGACCUGAGACAGUAGUAAAUGACACAUGCUCAAGAUGUCACUCAGGGGUAUCGAAAUCAGUACUUUCUGAUUAUGAAGCAACUUUCUUAAUCAUUCGACCAUUUUAUGUCUGGUUGUUGGCCGUACUAGUAAGUAAACCGCCAAAAUGAAGUCUCGUGGCCGAGUGGUUAAGGCGAUGGACUAGAAAUCCAGUGGGGUCUCCCCGCAUAGGUUCGAAUCCUAUCGGCGACGGUUAGGUAUUUUGCUUUUUUGUUGUGGUGCACCUGAGCACUGUAUACAAUAAUUUCAUUCAGCUGAAUCCAUAGUGAAGAUUGCCCCGCCGCCGACCUCCUUUAACCAGGAGGGCAAGGCAAUUUUUCUUUGUCUAGUGGCUGUAGAGAAAGAGGUGGUAUGGUGGACCUGUUUGAAAGGGCUAAGGUCAGACACUUUCCUCUUUGGCUAAGGUCUCAUCAUCUUUUUCAAGUUCCACUUGAAAAGGAAGAUGAGAGUAGAGAAGGAAGUGCUGUCUCGUAGCAAAUUUAUUGAAAGGUGGAUAAAUGUCGGAAGAAUGGCCAGUAUGAACGGACCAAUUCUGAGGAUACACCUGUAAAAAAAAAAGGUAAUAUAAAAGGAGAAAGUGACCCCCCCCCCUUUGAUCAGGCUCCUGUGGCUUUUAUGGGUUUUUUCCACAAGUAACCUUUCGAAGUGCCUCCCCCUAUUGGGAGUUUUUUACUUGUUAUAUUUUCGUUGUUAUCUUUGCAUUUUUACACGGACUUUUUCAAACGGACAAAACCCUUUUUGUAACUUUCGUUCUGUAUUUUGUCCUUACAUGUUUUAUUUGAUUUUGUUAGCCCUUGUGGCCAAUAAAAGAAUUUAUUAUUAUUAUUAUUAUUAUUAUUAUUAUUAUUAUUAAACAAAAACGGCGGGAUGGGGAUGGGUUCCGAAAGUGCUAGUGACUGUCUUCUAUGUCAGUAAAGAUUUAGUAAAGUCCGUAUCCGCUUUCCUCCACAGCAUACGAACUUAACCUAAAUUUACGAAUAUCUCUAGUACAGUGGUUUUCAACCAGGGUUCCACGGAACCUUAGGGUUCCGCCAGUACAGUCCAGGGGUUCCGCAAGAAGUUACAAAACUGCUAAAAUCGGCAGUAAUUUUUAAUUCUCCUGUGCAGAUAUGUGUGCAUAAGACUAUUAAAUUAUUGCACAGGGGUUCCCCGAGCCAGUGGAAUGUUUCCUUGGGGUUCCGCUCCAGCAGAAAUGUUUGAAAAGCACUGCUCUAGUAAAUAAGGUCGAAUUACAAAUAUGUAGCACUUACUAAAUGUCGUUUAAUGGGAAAUUGUUUUGUUUCCGAUUGUUUCGCUCAUUCACUCUACUGAGAUUAAUUAUGCUUCUGAUCUACUUAAGAGAUACUUUUGAUAAGGAAAGACUGAACAGUUGUUUAUCUUAAUCCACUAGAGUGAAGGAGUCGUUGUUUGUUGUUUAGCUCGAAGUCAGCUCUGAUUGAAAAGUCUUUAAUCAUUAAUCAUUAAAUCAUCCUUUGUUUUAUUUUUCCUCCACACAUGGCACGCGCAGGAAUGGCCGUGUGGUUAAAAAGUUCGGAUCUUUUCGGUUCGAACGGCAGUUUUUAAAAAUAAUUUCCACGUAACUAAACACUUUUAAACUUUGUAUACUGGUAGAAUGUGUUUAUAAAACAUCUUUUUCUCUUGGCUUUAUUGAGAAAAUUCUAUAGUUUGUAAGAUAUUUGUUAUUGUUUUUUUCUUCAAUUUCUGCAAUUUCAACCAAUCACUGGCGUCCAUUGAGGUAAAAAAAAACAUUCUGUGCCGUAUGAAUAUGUCCCUCAUUUAAGAAACAGAUUGGGUUUAUUUACAUUUGUGAAGAAAAAAAGAUACCCUUCCCCCACCCCUAACCCUAAAACAGAUUGAAAUGCAAUAGAUCGAUACUAGGGUCAUAAUUAUGGGUGACAAUUUCAUAUGACACUGCUAGAAAAACUGCCGUUCAAACCGAAAAGAUCCAAAAGUUCCCUUCAUAACCAAGUGGUUUCAGGUUUGGUUCUAUCACACAGGGCAUUGUGUUGAAUCGACGAGCAAACACAUAUCAUAAAGGUUCAUAUUGUAUAUGCAUGUCAAUUUCGGGGGCCUGGAAAUGUUUUUUUUUAUUUUUUUAUUUUUAUUUUUAAAUAAUAAUUGGUGCAGACAUGGCUACGUGAUUAAGAAGCUCGAUCUGUAACCACUUGGUUCCGUGUUCAGGCUUACUGCGCGGUACCUUGUGCAAAUGUCUUUGUAUUAUCGCCCCUGACCGAUAAAUGCAUUGGUGAGUGAAUUUGAUGGACGGAAACUAUGCGGAAGCCCACCGUAUAUACAGAUGCUUAUUUCAUGUAUUUCUCCACCUCAUAACACACCACACAAAUUCAUUGCACAUAGGCGCAGGCGUAGAUGUGUGAGGGCGCGGGUGUGGAUGUGUGGAGGCGCAAGCGUGGAUGUGUGGAGGCGCGGGCUGUGGUAAGUCGCUUGCUUACCGACCACAUGGUUCCAGGUUCAGUCCCACUGCGUGGCACCUUGGGCGGUUGUCUUCUACUACAGCCUCGGGCUGACCAAGGAAACUGAAAGCAGCCUGUCUUGUAUAUAUAUAUAUAUAUAUAUAUAUUUCUUUACUACCCACAAGGGGCUAAACACAGAGGGGACAAACAAGGACAGACAAAGGGAUUAAGUCGAUUACAUCGACCCCAGUGCGUAACUGGUACUUAAUUUAUCGACCCCGAAAGGAUGAAAAGCAAAGUCGACCUCGGCGGCAUUUGAACUCGGAACGUAAUGACAGAUAAAAUACGGCUACGAAUUUCGCCCGGCAUGCUAACGUUUCUACCAGCUCGCCGCCUUGACAUAUAUAUAUAUAUAUAUGUGUGUGUGUGUGUGUGUGUGUGAUAUAUAUAUAUGUGUGUGUGUGAUAUAUAUAUAUAUGUGUGUGUGUGAUAUAUAUAUAUAUGUGUGUGUGUGAUAUAUAUAUAUGUGUGUGUGUGUGAUAUAUAUAUGUGUGUGUGUGUGUGUGUGUAUGUCCCCCCACUAUCACUUGACAACCGAUGCUAGUGUGUUUACGUCCCCGUAACUUAGCGGUUCGGCAUAAGAGACCGAUAGAAUAAGUACUAGGCUUACAAAGAAUAAGUCCUGGAGUCGAUAUGUUCGACUAAAAAGACGGUGCUCCAGCAUGGCCGCAGUCAAAUGACUGAAACAAAUAAAAGGAUAGCCCUCUUUAACCACACACAUAUCCUACACACCCGCACACACAAAUAUCAGUAUCAUGACUCCCAUAUUACCUCUUUCAUUUCCCCCUCCUUUUAUCACUCUCUCUUGGUUAUUCUCUCCCCCUCUCUCUUUUCCACUUUCUCUAACUCCCCCUUUUUCAUUUGCCCUUCCUCCUCAUUCUAUCCCUCUUACUGUAUUUGACCCAACUGUACCUCUACUUCACUUCUCUAAUUCUACCCGAGAUAUGCCAUGUGAACAGGCGUCUUAUUUGGUAUCGUACAUUUUUUUCUGCACCUUCUGCCUCUUAAUUCCAUUCUUUAUCUUUUGAUAAACGGUAUCACUCCGAAACGUCAGGUUCAGUUCUGUUUUCUUUUUGAUAUACUAAGCUUUAUUGUACAUUUCUUAGUUUGUUGUUUAUUUUGCUUUAUAUUUCUACACUUUUCAGGCACGUGCUUUUGCUUAUCUGACUCUGCAUGGCGUUUGUUUUUCAUUUGUUUCUUCUUUACCUCUAAUUUUGAUUUAUGAAUGUAUUUGAACCCCCACCGCUUGAACCGUGUUACCACUGUAAUAAAGCAGUUCGGCAAAAACGACUAAUAAAAUAAGUACUAUGGUCUAUUUAUUUGACCAAACCCUCCAAGGCAGUGUCACAGUUAUAACUAAGACAAAUACAAGAAUAACAGUAACUAUAUCAGGUACUACAUUAUCUAACGUAUCUUUUAUUAAGGCAGUAUAUCGUAUUAGGGUGGAGGCGCAAUAGCCCAGUGGUUAGGGCAGCGGACUCGCGGUCGUAAGAUCGCGAUUUCGAUUCCCAGACCGGGCAUUGUGAGUGUUUAUUGAGCGAAAACACCUAAAGCUCCACGAGGCUCCGGCAGGGGGUGGUGGUGAACCCUGCUGUACUCUUUCACCACAACUUUCUCUCACUCUUUCUUCCUGUUUCUGUUGUACCUGUAUUUCAAAGGGCCAGCCUUGUCACACUCAGUAUCACGCUGAAUCUCCUCGAGAACUACGUUAAGGAUACACGUGUCUGUGGAGUGCUCAGCCACUUACACGUUAAUAAAUGAGCUGCGACGUCAAUGGUGCCAAGCUGGUGGCGUGGAGAGGGGAGGCUAUUAUCUGUGGGGCGACUGCUGGUCUUCCAUAAACAACCUUGCCCAGACUUGUACCUCGGAGGGUAACUUUCUAGGUGCAAUUCCAUGGUCAUUCAUGACCAAAGGAGGUCACAAUCACAGUAUUAGGAAGAUUUAGCUACGACCGUGUUAUUACUGCUGUGCUGGCUUGUGUGUAGUGGAAUUGUUGCAUAGCUUCUAGUCGUGCAGAUCCAUCUUCUCAGUUAUACCAUGACUUAAUCUAGUUGAGGACCAUAUUGCACACUGCACACAUGUAGUAAUGAAUCGCGUGAGAAUCACUGAGACAUAUGAUCUAGGCAUAUUGCAUUCACUCUUCAGGGCAAUAUAUUUCCAUAUGCUGUAACUUCUGGGGGCAUAAAGUAGAUUCGGUGAGAGUGUUCGGAACCAGUGAAUGUUGCGGCUGUUUUUGAUUUGUGUGUUUUGCUAUGUGGGCUGAGAGGAAGAAAUAGUGGGUUUUAGGAUUUUGCAGCUGUGCACUGUGUGUGUGUGUGUGUGUUCUUGUUUUCUUAUCGUGACGUAUCUAGCUGCUAUUAUAACUAUCACAAGAGAACAGAGCCAGUUGUCUUCGUAUACUGCUAGAAUGUGUUUAUAAAACAUCUUUUUCUCUUGGCUUUAUUAAGAAAAUUCUAUUGUUUGUAAGAUAUUUGUUGUUUUUUUUCUUCAAUUUCUGCAAUUUCAACCAAUCAAUGACGUCUAUUGAGGUGAAAACAUUCUGUGCCUUAUGAAAAUGUCCCUCGUAUAAGAAACAGAUUGGGUUUAUUUACAUUUGUGAAGGAAAAAAAAUACCCUUCCCCCACCCCUAACCCUAACACUAAAACAGAUUGAAAUGCAAUAGAUCGAUACUAGGGUCAUAAUUAUGGAUGACAAUUUCAUAUGACACCGCUAGAAAAAACUGCCGGCCAAACCGAAAAGAUCCCUGCUCUGUAGUAAACUUGAAAAUUAAUAAAUAUGAGAUAAUUACCACUGAUCAUUCAAGCCGUUUAAUGUGUUCAGUUCCUCUCAAAAUUCUCCUUCUCGUUCACAAUCUUGAGUUUCUUCAAAAACAAGGUUGCACGGACUUUUAAUUAUUUAUAGCAGAUUAUAAUAAGGCGGCGAGAUGGCAGAAACGUUAGCACGCUGGGCGAAAUGCUUAUUCGUAUUACGUCUGCCUUUACGUUCUGAGUUCAAAUUCCGCCGUGGUCGACUUUGCCUUUCAUCCUUUCGAGGUCGAUAAAUAAAGUACCAGUUACGCACCGGGGUCGAUGUAAUCGGCUUAAUACCUAUGUCUGUCCUUGUUUGUACCCUCUAUGUUUAGCUCCUUGUGGGUAAUAAAGAAAUAGGUAUUUCGCUGCCGCUACGUUCUGAGUUCAAAUUCCGCUGAUUCCGACUUUGCCUUUCAUCCUUUUGAGGUCGAUAAAUAAAGUACCAGUUACGCACUGGGGGGGGCGAUGUAAUCGACUUAAUCCCUUUGUUUGUUCCCUCUAUGUUUAGCCCCUUGUGGGCAAUAAAGGAAUAUAUUUAUAGCAGAUUAUUUGUCUAAACAUUUAUGGUGUCACGAGGGAGAUGAGGUUUGUGCUAAGGCGAGAACGGCAUUCUUUUUUUUAAUUUUCUUUUUUUAAUCCUUUUUAGAACCUGGUUCAGCACUAUGGGUUUAUAUCAACUUAGAUUUUCAUCCUUUCAAGGUCGAUAAAUAUAUGUUUCUUUAUUACCCACAAGGGGCUAAACACAGAGGGGACAAACAAUAACAGACAAACGGAUUAAGUCAAUUAUAUCGACCCCAGUGCGAAACUGGUACUUAUUUAAUCGACUCCGAAAAGAUGAAAGGCAAAGUCGACCUCGGCGGAAUUUGAACUCAGAACGUAACGGCAGACGAAAUACGGCAACGCAUUUCGCCCGGCGUGCUAACGAUUCUGCCAGCUCGCCGCCUUUAGGUCGAUAAAUAUAGUAACAGUCAAGUACUAGGAUCGUGUUUUCUUUAUUUAUUUCUGUCUUUCUCUCUAAUUAAAAUUGGAGAGACAUAGACUUGGCCAGGCGUAAAAUCUCCGAGACAUGAUGUAUAUCACAACGGCACUCAUUCACUUCUAUCGAAGAAGGAACAAAUGUAUUUACAAGCAUUUUAGAAAAAGAGUUGGAAAGCCAUCCAGUCUUGAUGCAGAAUUAACCUUUCCGUAGUUUAUUGAUUUUUAUUAAUACUUUAUUUAUAAAAGGUAUUUUCAGACCUUGUUACGAUAAAACACUCGCGGGCACAUUUAGCAUUUUGCUAUUCACUAGCUUACAAACAUUAUUACACUUCUCUUUACAAAUCUUGUGAAAGCCUGAACAAAUGAACUAUUUCGGUAUAUCUAAAGCUCUAUUUUCGAUUCCAACAUUGCUAACUAUCGAGUAUAACUAAGGUUGUGUUUCAGUUUUUCAAUUGUGAUUUCUUUGAGCUUUAUGAUGCAGUUAUACCGGUAACACUAAGGAGUUCGUUUCGUAACAGACUUGGUUUUGGAUAAGACCCGACUUACGCGGCGGCGCCUUGGUCAAGUAUCAUCCAUGUUUUUAACCGUUACUGUCUCCAAAAAAGAUUUUUCGUUUCAUGUUCGUCUCUGUUGCGUUGCAUUCUUUCCUUCUGUGGCUGGCUGAUUCAGAGCGGAUCUCAGAAUUAAACAGCCGAAAUCUGCGAUGAGGGAUCAGUUUCUGACUGAAGAAUGAAGGCUUUGAAUGACCCGUUUGUCUUUUUGUUCGUCCCUUCGUGUAUUUCAUGUUAUUUAUUUAUGUAAAGGUUUAUUAUCUUUUAACUAGUCUUGGGCCACAAAAGUGAUUAAAAUUUAGGAGACAGUGCGUAAGUCCGUUGGUGGACUGUUCCCGUUUUUGGGAGUGAUAGACUUAAGCCGUCAUCCUGCUUUACCCCGCCAUCUGGCCCAUGGGUACUGUUAUGUGUAGUUUGUGUUCUAAUGGGAUAGACAAUUAAAUGAAAGCCAUUGUUAUUGUUUACGUGUUUAUUUACUAUUCAUCUUACACGGAGUCGACAUUCAGCGUAGUGAUACAUAAUAUACUUUACACACAGUUUGUAUUGUUCACUAACAAAAUAGUGCCAAAAGUGAGGAUGUAUUCUGCAUACAUAAACACAUAGAUAUGAAUGUGUAACAGGUACCUUUAGAGGAGUUCCUUCUGUUGCAAACAUUCUGGCAAGAUAUCCAGUCUGAAGAUAGCUCCUUCCUUUCCUUCAUUUGUUUUGGAGAACAUGGAAAAUGGUCAUGGUAUUUUCUCUUCUGACUAACCCCAUUAAUGGUUUCUGAUGCAGAACAGCAAUUUUGAGAAGCUAGUCAAUACCACUGAGCCCAGUAUUUUGUUGGUACUUUAUUUUGUCGAUUCCGAAAGAAUAAAAGGCAAAGUGGACCUCGGUGGAAUUUGAACCCAGAAUGUAAAAAGCCGGGAUUAGUACCCUUCCCAAAACAAGGCAAUUUUUCAAUCGCUGUAACGAUUCUGACAGCUCAACGCCUUCGAUUAACCCAUUAAUAAAAAUCUGUAGGAGGCGCAAUGGCCCAGUGGUUAGGGCAGCGGACUCGCGGUCGUAGGAUCGCGGUUUCGAUUCCCAGACCGGACGUUGUGAGUGUUUAUUGAGCGAAAACACCUAAAAGCUCCACGAGGCUCCGGUAGGGGAUGGUGGUGAUCCCUGCUGUACUCUUUCACCACAACUUUCUCUCACUCUUUCUUCCUGUUUCUGUUGUACCUGUAUUUCAAAGGGCCGGCCUUGUCACACUCUGUGUCACGCUGAAUAUCCCCGAGAACUACGUUAAGGGUACACGUGUCUGUGGAGUGCUCAGCCACUUACACGUUAAUUUCACGAGCAGGCUGUUCCGUUGAUUCGGAUCAACCGGAACCCUCGUCGUCGUAACCGACGGAGUGCUUCCAUUUUCCAUUCCAAUAAAAAUCUAUAUCAAGUGUUUGUUGGCUUUUUUGUUUUACCUUAGUUCCCGUUCUCAGCAGGAUUUUUUUUCUUUUUCUUUCUGUGGAGGGUAUUAUACUUCAAGAACAACUUGGAUUGUGGCCAAUUCGUUACUCCCCGCUAUACAACUCUCUCUUCCAUUUUCUUAGGUAAUUUGAGAUUAGGGAAGAGGGAAUCUUGUUAAAGUUUCUGUAGGGAACUUGAUAGGGAACGAUCUUAUUAAGAAUUACGAAAACAAAAUGAAAACCUUCUUACGUAUGACGAGUGGAAUGUGAAAGUAACAAAAAAUAGCUUCAGGGCUAAGAUGUUCGUCUCACUUUUUGACACAACAUCGGUCUCUUAAACAUAAACAUAAAUUCACUAUCACACACACAACAUAUAUAUAUAUAUAUAUAUAUAUAUAUAUAUAUAUAUAUAUAUAUAUAUAUACACACACACAUACAGGAGUGGGCAAAGGUAGAUAUAAAGUUGCUUAAUAUGAGUAGAAUGUUCUUUUUUUUUUACCUAAGCGAUACAUAAAGUGACUAAGGAAUUUGUGGGAGAUGCCUGGUUCAUUGGAAUCCUUUAUUUCGAUUUCUGGAGAGACUUUGAGUGAAUGCUUGAGCAACAAGCAGCCGUAUACCUACUUUUGCCCAAUCACACAUAUAUAUAUAUAUAUAUAUAUAUAUAUGUAUGUAUGUAUGUAUGUAUGUAUGUAUGUAUGUAUGUGUAUAUAUAUAUGUCUGUAUGUAUGUGUAUAUAUAUGUCUGUAUGUAUGUGUAUAUAUAUGUCUGUAUGUAUAUAUAUAUAUGUCUGUAUGUAUAUAUAUGUCUGUAUGUAUAUAUAUGUAUGUAUGUAUAUAUAUAGUUAAUCCAAACAAGAAAACAAAAAAACAACAACGCAAGGAUGUGGAACAAAUAAAGUAUUAUUGGACGCUCAGGAAAGAAGGGAAAAAGGAGGGUUUGACGUUUCGAGCGGAGCUCUUCGUCGGAAACAUAGGAGAAGGAAAGAUCCCGAGAAGGGAAGACAGAGAAAAAAAAUCGCUAGUGAUACAGACGAAGUCACAUAUAUAUAUAUAUGUGUGUAUAUAUAUAUAUGUACGUAUAUAUAUGCAUAUAUAUAUGUAUGUAUGCAUGUAUGGUAUUUACUCGUGUAUAAGUCGCACUUGAUUUUAAGCAUAAAAAAUAACAGGGAUGCGACCUCUGCACGAGUAAACACGGUGUGAUGGGGUUGUAUUUCAAGAGUUAAUUUAGAUGGAACUAUUUCCUUCAAAUUCCAUUCACACGACUUCAGUCAAAUCGAGUAUAUCGUAGAAGACACUUACCCAAGGCGUCACGCUGAAGGGUCGAACUGUGUGUCACGUGAUCCGAGUCAAAGUUAGGUUCGGCUUGGCGCUUGUAAACCUCUACUUUCGGUUUCGAAUAUAUUUUGCUAGUACUUUACCUUGACUCAUCCAGUUUUGAUUCACUAUUCUGGAAUCUCACUUCACUUCUGUCAUUAAUGCCCAUAGGAAAGCUAAACUCAACGAAAUACUUACUCUCUCUCCUUCUCUCUCUCUCUCUCUCGCUUCUUUUCUUUUUCUUUUUUUUUUUUAUCCGCCAGUAAGAUUAAUGAAGUUAAAUAAACAUUGGUGAAUGCAUCUUAAUUCCAAAAAAUAAAAGCAUCUCAUUCUGUUUAUCUCACUUUUCAUAAAGCAUAUUUAUACAAUCAACCCGUCGAAAUUUACGAGUAAAAAAUGUUUAUUCUGAAAAUACAAAAUGGGUGUUUUAUUUUCUAGAAUGUGCAAAUUCUUGGCACACUGACAUGGUUGUCAUUUGGUUGUCUUCUUCAUAUUCUAAGCAAAUACAGUAUCUAUAGCUGAAAUUCAAAGAAGAUUUCGAUGGGAAUUAACAAACACUACAGCUAACUGUAAGCUAGGUGGGAAAAGGAUCGGCUGCCCCAGGCGACGCUUUCAUUGGCAGGAGUAGUCGUUUUGAAUCUGCUGUAUAACUCUGAAUUGGCUGUGAGGGGUCGGCAGGCGGCGAGCUGGCAGAAACGUUAGCACGCCGGGCGAAAUGCUUAGUGGUGUUUCGUCUGCCGUUACGUUCUGAGUUCAAAUUCCGCCGAGGUCGACUUUGCCUUUCAUCCUUUCGGGGUCGAUAAAUUAAGUACCAGUUACGCACUGGGGUCGAUGUAAUCGACUUAAUACCUAUGUCUGUCCUUGUUUGUCCUCUCUGUGUUUAGCCCCUUGUGGGUAGUAAAGAAAUAGGUAUUUCGUCUGCCGUUACGUUCUGAGUUCAAAUUCCGCCGAGGUCGACUUUGCCUUUCAUCCUUUCGGGGUCGAUAAAUUAAGUACCAGUUACGCACUGGGGUCGAUGUAAUCGACUUAAUCCGUCUGUCUGUCCUUGUUUGUCCCCUCUGUGUUUAGCCCAUUUUAGGGUAAUAAAGAAAUAGGUAUGGGACAGGCACUCUAGCUACAUAACUGAUUGUUAAAAAUUGUGAAGGUGCGUGGCUUAGUUAGGGUUUUGAGCUAACGAUCGUUUGGUUGGCAUUAGUUCGGUUCUCGAACCGUGCGAUACGCUGUGUCUUCAUUUCCCUUUGCUCCACUACACUCAACUGAAAAUGCAUACCAGUGGCUCCUUGAGUUAACCCUGCGACGGACUGGCGUCCUGUUCAGAGUGAAGGCAAUUCUUUACUCUCAACCUAAACGCCUUGAAAAUCCGGCUAAACUCCAGCCUCAUGAGCCUGGGUGGUAAGAUAGACUUUUAGAAUUACUCUCUCUCUCUUUUACUCUUUUACUUGUUUCAGUCAUUUGACUGUGGCCAUGCUGGAGCACCGCCUUUAGUCGAGCAGAUCUACCCCAGGACUUAUUCUUUGUAAGCCCAGUACUUAUUAAAGUACUAGUACUUAUUAAAGUACGAUAGACUUUUAGAAUUACUCUCUCUUUUACUUGUUUCAGUCAUUUGACUGUGACCAUGCUGGAGCACCGCCUUUAGUCGAGCAAAUCUACCCCAGGACUUAUUCUUUGUAAGCCUAGUACUUAUUAAAGUACUAGUACUUAUUAAAGUAAGAUAGACUUUUAGAAUUACUCUCUCUUUUACUCUUUUACUUGUUUCAGUCAUUUGACUGUGGCCAUGCUGGAGCACCGCAUUUAGUCGAGCAAAUCUACCCCAGGACUUAUUCUUUGUAAGCCUAGUACUUAUUAAAGUACUAGUACUUAUUAAAGUAAGAUAGACUUUUAGAAUUACUCUCUCUUUUACUCUUUUACUUGUUUCAGUCAUUUGACUGUGGCCAUGCUGGAGCACCGCCUUUAGUCGAGCAGAUCUACCCCAGGACUUAUUCUUUGUAAGCCCAGUACUUAUUAAAGUACUAGUACUUAUUAAAGUACGAUAGACUUUUAGAAUUACUCUCUCUUUUACUUGUUUCAGUCAUUUGACUGUGGCCAUGCUGGAGCACCGCCUUUAGUCGAGCAGAUCUACCCCAGGACUUAUUCUUUGUAAGCCCAGUACAUAUUAAAGUACUAGUACUUAUUAAAGUACGAUAGACUUUUAUAAUUACUCUCUCUUUUACUUGUUUCAGUCAUUUGACUGUGGCCAUGCUGGAGCACCGCCUUUAGUCGAGCAAAUCGACCCCCAGGACUCAUUCUUUGUAAGCCUAGUACUUAUUCUAUCGGUCUCUUUUGCCGGACCGCUAAGUUACUGGGACGUAAACACACCAGCAUCGGUUGUCAAGCGAUGUUGGUUGGGGGGGGGCAAAUACAGAGGCUAUAGUAGAAGACACUUGCCCAAGGUGCCACGCAAAAUCCAUCACUCAUUGACUAAGGCAACUGCAGCUCCACACUGUACGUAUUUUACAAAAGUUAUAAACAUUUUUUACUCUACCUUCAUAGUCCCAUCACCAGGUACAAUUUCUAGUCACCAUGAGCGAAGGGUUCCCUAUUCUUAGCAGUGUCUCUUCUAUCACCUUCAAACAGUGCGCCCCACAGCUAAAUACCUAUUUCUUUACUACCCACAAGGGGCUAAACACAGAGAGGACAAACAAGGACAGACAUAGGUAUUAAGUCGAUUACAUCGACCCCAGUGCGUAACUGGUGCUUAAUUUUUAUCGACCCUGAAAUGAUGAAAGGCAAAGUUGACCUCGGUGGAAUUUGAACUCAGAACGUAGCGGCAGACGAAAUACCGCUAAGCAUUUCGCCCGGCGCGCUAACGAUUCUGCCAGCUCGCCGCCUUCAUUUAGCCCCACAGCUAAAUACCUUCGACGAACUCUCUCCCUUUUUUUCCCCACUUUCUCUCUCUCUCUGUCUCUCUCUCACACACACACACAAACAAACACACACUGACAUCCAAGACCAGUCCUUUCUCAAACUCUUUAAAUCAUCACACCUUUUCUUUUUCUAGCAUCUUUCCAUCAUGCUACGAUUCAACGAACCCAUCCACCCAAUUCUGUUUUUCUUUAUCUACAUACACGUAAUAUCAGGUCAGAAUCAUUUAAUUCUGAGUAUUAGUUUCAGGGGAGUGACUACAUACCACAGUAUUACUCUACUAUAAGCAAAUACUCAUAAUUAUGUAAUGUGUGUGUGUGUAUGUAUAUAUACAUCCAUGAUAGAUCGUUAGCCACUACACACAUUUUUUUCUCUCCUUGUUUUUUCUGUGUCCCUUUCUGUAGAAGAGCGUAGGCUCGAAACGUAAAAGACUUUUUCUAUUCCUGAGCGUUAUACUAAUCUGUUUGUUUUGUACACCACCUGUCUUCGUCUUUUGUUUUUUCGUAAACUCUCCCUAUAUAUAUAUAUGAGGUAUACUUGCCAUCUCAAUAUGGCUAACCACUAAGGGUGGGUGUUACUGUAACCCCAGGAGAACAUCGUCUCCAGCUGGCUUUAGGCACACUUUCUGUGCCCUUAUGGUAUUUGCAAAGGAAGGUCAUCCCUCCCUCGUCAACCUAAGCAGCUUGUUCUCUUGAUCCGAUCAACUGGGACUCUCAGCGUCAUAAUAGAUGGAGUGUCAUUUACGGUGUCGAAAUUUUCGUCGUUCGAAACUGCGACUUGGAGCACAAAUUUUGUCAGUGACCAAGGCCGCAGUUUCGAGCAACGAAAAUUUUGACACCAUAUUACAUGCAGUAAAUGUUUAGGUGAAGUUAACAGUCUUUGUGUGUUUCUGAAUGGCUAACUCGUGCCGUCGACGCUGAAAUCGUUUUAGUUUCAACUCACGAUCACAGAUGAAAACACUUUCCAUGCCAUGCAAGAACAUCUCUGUAAAUUGUAUUGAAAGAAAGAGAAGUGAGGGGAAAAUGGUUUAUAUGAUUUUGAAAAAUGUAGCGGUGAUGAAAGUGGGGGGGAGAUGUGUGAUCCCUCGUUUCUUUGUAAUGCUUUCAUUGCGUUUGUAUCAUGGCUUCAAGCGUGAAUCCCGAGUAACAUUGCACGUUACCGUUCAGGUAGAUAUCGCUUUCCGACUUUCAGUCCCUCUCCCCCUCCUCAUUUGCCUUAGUUCAUUGCUCUCUCUCUCUCUCUCUCUCUCUCCCUCCCUCUCUCUUAUACACACACACGCAUUCUCAAUCACAUUGGUACGAACGCAGAUUAUAGUAGUUUGUUAGCUUGCCUCCAAGACAGUCGUGAUUUAAAAGACCAACGAUCAAAGUCAUUACAGCCGUGACCAUCCUGUCUUUUACCGAAGAGGGAUAUGUAGGACUGCAUUAUCUAACGAGUCUUUCCUUUGGAGUGAAAGCGACAGAAAGAGAGAGAGAUUUCUUGUAGAUCGAGCUAUCAUGUAGAAGCUCCCUCCCUCGUCGUUUUUUUCUUUUUCUAUUGUCCAAUGUCUUCCUGCUAUUUCUAACAGGUUGAGACACCGUGGAGAAACUCCCAUAGAGGAAGAACAUGUGUAUACGUAUGUAUGUAUAUAUAAAUAUAUAUAUAUAUCACCGUGAUCACCGUGACCGACCAGGCUAUCAGAUGUUGCUACACAUCGCUCGUUACAAUGCACUUCGCAUUGUUUUAGCCUUCAAAUGACGCCACCCCGCUGGCUAAGCGAGCAAGGUCAACAGAAGAAAGAGUGAGAGAAAGUUGUGGCGAAAGAGCACCGCAGGGAUCGCCACCAUCCCCUGCCGGAGCCUCGUGGGGCUUUAGGAGUUUUUGCUCAAUAAACACUCACAACGCCCGGUCUGGGAGUCGAAACCGCGAUCCUACGACCGCGAGUCCGCUGCCCUAACCACUGGGCCAUUGCGCCUCUUCAUAUGUGUGUGUGUGUGUAUGUGUGUGUAUUUACAAAAUCUGUUAAUCUAAAUUUCCCAAACGAAUUAGCCUGUUUCUAAACCAGAAAACAGGAUUGCCAUUUUUUUCUCUCCUCUUUUCAAAUGUGUCCUGGUCAAAUGCAGUUAAUUUUAAUGUGGCCUUCCAACAAGUAAUUUCCCACCUCUGCUUUCGUGAGUACAUUGUAACCAAGAAAGAUAACUUCAAUAAAAUCGGGGUUGUCUCCCUUCGCGUGACGUGACCAAGACACCAACAAUGAGUAGAAUUAGUAUAUUAAUUCUCUAAAACAAUGGUCGCCAAAUAUAUUUUGUUACAAAAGCUUCAUCUGAUUUUCCAAAACUCGUGGAAUGCAUACCAAUCUUUUGUGGCCAAUUUUCAUUCACUGUAGUUUUGAUAAGACCUUAAAUGAAGAACAUUCUAUUGUGUCUGGGGAGAGUCAUUUUCUUUUUGUGCCUUAUAAUUUAACACACUCACCGAUAAAAUUUCCACAUUUUUCUUAUUUUUAUUGUCCUAAAAUUUUCAUUGCAACCUUUUCAAGAUGCAACGAAAAUUUUAGGACAAUAGAAAUAAGAAAAAUGUGGAAAUUUUACCGGUGAGUGUGUUAAAUUAUAAGGCACAAAAAGAAAAUGACUCUCCCCAGACACAAUAGAAAAUGCUUCAACACACGAACUCAUAUAAAGAAUCUUGCAAACCAAAUCCAAAAACGAAAUUAAAUAAAACGUAAAUUGCUUUAGAGAGAGAAUUUAUAUUUAUAUCGUUUAUCUUUUACCGGUUUCAAUCAUUAGACUGUGGCCAUGCUGGGGCACCUUCUUGAAGAAUUUUAGUUGAAUGAACCAAUCCCAGUACUUCUUCUCUUAAGCCUGGUACUUAUUCUGUAGGUCUGUGUUUGCUAAACUGCUAAGUUACAGGGUUGUAAACACACCAACACCAGUUGGCAAACAGUGGUCGGGGACAAACACAGACGCAUAAAGAUAUAGAUACAUGUGUGUGUGUGUGUGUGUCACAGGCUUCUUUCAGUUUCCAUCUGCUAAAUCCACUCACAAGGCUUUGGUCAGUCCAAGGCAAGAGCAGAAGACAUUUGCCGAAGGUGCCACGCAGUGGGACUGAACCCGGAACCAUGUGGUUAGGAAGCAAACUUCUUACCAAACAGCAAUGCCUAAAAAGAAAACUUUCAUAAACCUUCCAGGAUCUUUUCAGUUUGAAUGGCAGUGUUUUCUAGCGGUGUCAUAUGAAAUUGUCACCCAUAAUUAUGACCCUAGUAUCGAUCUAUUGCAUUUCAAUCUGUUUUAGGGUUAAGGUUAGUUAGGGUUAGGGGUGGGGGGAAUGGUAUCUUUUUUUCUUCACAAAUGUAAAUAAACUCAAUCUGUUUCUUAAACGAGGGACAUAUUCAUACGGCACAGAAUGUUUUCACCUCAAUAGACGUCAUUGAUUGGUUGAAAUUGCAGAAAUUGAAGGAAAAAAACAACAACAAAUAUCUUACAAACUAUAGAAUCUUCUCAAUAAAGCCAAGAGAAAAAGAUGUUUUCUAAACACAUUCUACCAGUAUACGAAGUUUAAAAGUGUUUAGUUACAUGGAAAUUAUUUUUAAAAACUGCCGUUCAAACCGAAAAGAUCCACCUUCCAAAAUGAUGGGUGCCAUAUUUUUUUAUAAAAUAAAUUUUUAUUGAAUUAUUUUAUUAAAAGACACCAGAUCUCACAGAACUCUAGAAUUUUUCCCAGAACCCUAGUUUGAAAACACUGAUCUAGAACAGAAAGUAGGCAUGGAUUUAUUUAGUAUAUUUGCAUUUUCUCUGUAAAAAUUUUUGAGGGGUUUUUUUUUUGUGGGCGGGGUUGUCCCAAAUUUAGUAUAUUUGCAUUUUCACCAUUAAAAGCAGUUUUAGGCUCUUCUAACUCAUCAGCUGGAUUUCAGUUUACUCUCUUUACUCUUUUACUCUUUUACUUGUUUCAGUCAUGUGACUGUGGCCAUGCUGGAGCACCGCCUUUAGUCAAACAAAUCGACCCAGGACUUAUUCUUUGUAAGCCUAGUACUUAAUCUAGCGGUCUCUUUUUGCCGAACCGCUAAGUUACGGGGACGUAAACACACCACCAUUGGUUGUCAAGCGAUGUUGGGGGGACAAACAGACACACACACACACGCAAUAUAUAUAUAUAUAUAUAUAUAUAUACGACGGGCUUCUUUUUUAGUUUCCGUCUACCAAAUCCACUCACAAGGCUUUGGUCGGCCCAAGGCUAUAGUAGAAGACACUUGCCCAAGGUGCCACACAGUGGGACUGAACCCGGAACCAUGUGGUUGGUUAGCAAGCUACUUACCACACAGCCACUCUUGCCCCUAGCAUACUAUAGUAUAAAACAUCAAUCUUCAGCUUUUGUAAAGUAGAGGGUUCCACUGACAAUUCUCUAAUUGGGCUCUGCACUUCCUAGCAUUGACUAUUGCAUUUAUACAUCAAUGACAAAAUUGAUAUGGCUUCAUGUUGCUACUAUUAAUCUGAAGGUCAAGGUUACUCAUAUAUGGCACUGCAGUCAUGAGUAAAAAUGUUAAUAUAUUCCAAACCAAAGUUGUUUUAAGUAGUGUUUGCCUUGUUAUUAUCAGUCUCAUGUUUUUACAAUGAAGUAAAAAAUCAAAAAUUCAUAUUUUCAUUUUAUAUUUGAAAAAUUAUGUUUAUUUAAAAUUAUUUCAAUAAAUUUAAUGUUAUAUUUACAUUUAAAUAUUUUUUCUUUAUACUGCAGGUUUACCAAAAUUUCCCAGAACACCUGAAAUUACUCUUUUAUAGAAUACUGAAUAUCUAUAUUCAUUCACAUUGAUUGAGAAAUUACUAUUUUCACCAAGGAAAAUGUCUUACAAUAAAGGAGAGUUUAUUCUUUGAAAUAUAAAAUUAAAUUCUUAUCUGUGAUUCAAAACAUGAAAAACUUCC
rnacentral:lncRNA from 1 species